rnacentral:tRNA from 1 species
CGGGAAGUAGCUCAGCUUGUAGAGCACAUGGUUUGGGACCAGGGGUCGCAGGUUCGAAUCCUGUCUUCCCGACCA